ACCGCAGUCGCCGGCUUUGAGUUAUGCCUUCUUUGCGUGUGCAGGAGUCGCCUUCACUUGAAAACAUCCGUCGAGACCUGCACAUUUAGUUUUGGUGGUUUUGACGCUGUGCGAAUGGCUGAGGCCGUCUCUGCGAUGCACUUUCAGCGCGUAGACUGUCGUUUUGUACGUUGGUGGUAACGACGUUUGCAGUGCCAACGCGGACCCUCAAGAUAUAGGGGUACAAGUUAGUUCUGCAACUGCAGCACGAUGUGGCCCCCGUGGUGUAUACGUCUUCAAAGUGCUGCCACGUUGCUCCAGCUCUGAAGACGCCGAUGCGGAGCGCCAGAUCAAGAAAACGCGCUUGCUGAACCGCAAGCUGACGGCUACGCUGAAACGCCUGCCGUGUGUUCGAAUCUUGAACGCCGAGCAUGUUGGUCUUCAUUCGAGAGCUGUCUCACCUUUGGAUGUUCAGAGGCAUCCACUUCCACCUUGAGCACCGCACCGUGCAGCCAACGCU